rnacentral:rRNA from 1 species
AGACGUCUACAUUAGAUACCCCCCGUAGUCCCAGCCGUAAACUAUGCGCGUUAGGUGUAUCGGUGACCACGAGUUACCGAGGUGCCGAAGGGAAACCGUGAAACGUGCCGCCUGGGAAGUACGGUCGCAAGGCUGAAACUUAAAGGAAUUGGCGGGGAGCACCACAACGGGUGGAGCCUGCGGUUUAAUUGGACUCAACGCCGGGAAGCUCACCGGAUAAGACAGCGGAAUGAUUGCCGGGCUGAAGACUCUGCAUGACUAGCUG